rnacentral:rRNA from 1 species
UGCAAGUCGAACGGAAACAGGACGCUAGGAUUCCUUCGGGAUGACUUUGUCGCUGUCGAGUGGCGGACGGGUGAGUAAUGCAUAGGAAUUUGCCUCAAAGUGGGGGAUAGCCCGGAGAAAUCCGGAUUAAUACCGCAUGUGCUCUACGGAGGAAAGCGGGCCUCUAUUUAUAAGCUCGCGCUUUGAGAUAAGCCUAUGUCGGAUUAGCUAGUUGGUAGGGUAAAAGCCUACCAAGGCGACGAUCCGUAGCUGGUUUGAGAGGAUGAUCAGCCACACUGGGACUGAGACACGGCCCAGACUCCUACGGGAGGCAGCAGUGGGGAAUAUUGGACAAUGGGGCGCAAGCCUGAUCCAGCAAUGCCGCGUGUGUGAAGAAGGCCUACGGGUUGUAAAGCACUUUUAUUAGGAAAGAAAAGUCUGGGGUUAAUAACCUUCAGACCUUGACGGUACCUAAAGAAUAAGCACCGGCUAACUCAGUGCCAGCAGCCGCGGUAAUACUGAGGGUGCAAGCGUUAAUCGGAAUUACUGGGCGUAAAGCGAGUGUAGGCGGCUUCGUAAGUCGGAUGUGAAAGCCCUGGGCUUAACCUGGGAAUGGCAUUCGAUACUGCGCGGCUAGAGUCUGAUAGAAGGGAUGUGGAAUUCCAGGUG